rnacentral:rRNA from 1 species
GACAGAGGGUGCAAACGUUGUUCGGAAUUACUGGGCGUAAAGCGCGUGUAGGCGGCAAGCCAAGUCGGGUGUGAAAGCCCUGGGCUCAACCCAGGAAGUGCAUUCGAUACUGGCAAGCUAGAGUCCCGGAGAGGAUGGUGGAACUCUCGGUGUAGAGGUGAAAUGCGUAGAGAUCGGGAAGAAUACCGGAGGCGAAGGCGACGGCCUGGAAAGCAACUGACACUGAAACACAAAAGCAUGGGAAUCAAACAGG